GUGACUGGAGAAGUAGUCGGUUCUGUGUGUAUGUGUGUCACAUGUGACAGGAAAUUGUUGUGGAGAGUUCUGUGAAAGUGCUGACCGUAUUAUAGAUCAGGGAUUAGACGCGUUUGAGGUAUUGAUGGGACGAUCGCUGAUGGAGGUACACGCCUUGGUAGUGAUGGAGAUAUCCGUGGAAGAUGAGAUUAAGAAAAUUCUGAACAAGCUAAGUGGCUACGGUAAUGCGUACUUAGUGAGAAGAUGCGCGUUCACUGCCAGCCCAUUCAGAUGGUACAGGAUUCUAAUAUAGCCAUGUGAAGGCAAUAUGCUAGUUGAAUUUUUUGACCUGGCGUUUUCAAUAGAACCUCUUUCCAAAAAUAAUGUACCGGCACUCUUGUUUAAAUUAACUGUGAUAAGAGAUUGCUGUUGCAGCCACUCUGGUGGACCAGUGUCAACCCUAAAAAGAUGACUGAUAAUGGUCACAAGGAAGAAAAGAUGGUGAGCAACACUUGAUGCUAAACGUGUCUACACAAUAAAAUCAGCAGAACAGUUCAUAAAAGUAUCCAAUUGAAUAAUGCAAUUAAAGGUGCAUUUCCUCUGCCUAUAGUUUCUUUGUUCAAUUUUUUGUCUGCAAAUAUAGCAAUGAUGACUCAGCAAGAAGGAAAAUUUGGUUGUGGCAGCAGAUAUUGAGCAAAUUCUGGCCCUGUGGGAAGACAGUCUUGCAUCAUAAGGAAAAAAAGUUCUUAGCUGGUAAAGUAAAGUUUAAAACUCACAAAUUAUUUCUUAAAAAUCUCAGUGCAUUUGAUUAUUGUAAUAAACAAUGCCUAUCACUA